GCCGGCGUAGCUCAGUGGUAGUAGCAUACGUUUCAUAAGCGUAAGGUCACAGGUUCGAUCCCUGUCGCCGGCA
rnacentral:tRNA from 1 species